AAUAGGGAAAAGCCCCCUUUUCAGAACCUCACACCUCCCUCAUUGCCCUCACAAAGCCUCUGCUCAGGGGAGCACAAACCCACCCUUUCCUGGGGUCACUUGUAGCUGCUUUCCUCAAUUCCUUCUUUGUUUUUCAUUCCUGAGCUGUAACACAGGCAAGAAAGGAGCCCACACUGGGAUCCCUGGAGGCAAGCAAGCUAUUGUCCUUAAAACAAAGGAACUUUUCCUCGGAUGUACCAGCAACAAUGCAAAAUGCCCAAGAGCCUUUACUUCAUCCUGGAGCAGGCUUCCUGAUGGUUCCCAGGAUGCUCGUCUGGUCUGACUGCUCUGAAAAGACUGUCUACAUGGGUAUGAGGAACAUGCAAGAAACUUCAGGUUCAAGGUGACUUCUCGCCACAAUACUGGGGAUGUGGGCUUCGAGCAGACCUAAAGGACAUUGGAUGGACAUAACAGCCCAGAAAAUCCUCCAUACAGCAGAGGAAACUCAUUUUGAAACCUCAAGAGCUGCCGUGAAAUGGGAUCGUCAUCCUCCAGGGAGCUCUGGUGCCUCCAUGCCUUAAGCAAUCGUGACUAACUCUCACACCAGCCU